GGUCCAACCGUACACAGCAUAGGAGCCACCCAGGGCACUGGCUUAGGGCCAGACCUCCAACAAAGCAGGCUAGACACAUGUGCUAACAGGAACCAGAGACUGUGUGGACCACGUGGGCUGAGUUGGGAGAAGGCAGUCUGGAGGAAGCCGCCUUGUGGAGCCCCACAGCUUCCGAAGGCUGCGGUGCUUGGGUACCACUGCACCAUGAUGACAAGGGUGACCCAGGAGGCAUGCUGGCAGGACGCAGCACAGAGAAACCAGGCCGUCCAGCAACAUCAGAGCCGCCAGAAGUGCACACGGCAACCAGGCCUUACCUCGAGCCCUGAGGAAAAGCACGUGGAUGGGUGUUAAGACCCACCUGGUGCACAUCAUGACAGGCUCUGCCAUAGUCCAGGCUGAGUGUGCAGAGGAGAAAUGGUAUACGGCCUGCAGCCUGGGACCUAGAAGGGAGACGUCAAGACAGAUCUCGCUCGGUGACUAAUCUUCCCUUCUGCCAGUUUAGCUCUCUAGAACUAUCUGAAGAUGCGGGGUAGUGAGGUGGGGGAAGGAAGCUGCUCAGACAUUGCCUGACCCCAGACUCUGUCUUCCCCUACCAGAGCUGCUCCCCAUGAGGAGGGUUCAGCAUGGGUCCCAGGAAGCAGGCUAUGGGGCUCCAAUAAACAGGAC